rnacentral:rRNA from 1 species
CCUACGGGUCGCACCAGUGGGGAAUAUUGCACAAUGGGCGCAAGCCUGAUGCAGCCAUGCCGCGUGUGUGAAGAAGGCCUUCGGGUUGCAAAGCACUUUCAGCGGGGAGGAAGGCGGUGAGGUUAAUAACCUCACCGAUUGACGUUACCCGCAGAAGAAGCACCGGCUAACUCCGUGCCAGCAGCCGCGGUAAUACGGAGGGUGCAAGCGUUAAUCGGAAUUACUGGGCGUAAAGCGCACGCAGGCGGUCUGUCAAGUCGGAUGUGAAAUCCCCGGGCUUAACCUGGGAACUGCAUUCGAAACUGGCAGGCUAGAGUCUUGUAGAGGGGGGUAGAAUUUCAGGUGUAGCGGUGAAAUGCGUAGAGAUCUGAAGGAAUACCAGUGGCGAAGGCGGCCCCCUGGACAAAGACUGACGCUCAGAUGCGAAAGCGUGGGGAGCAAACAGGAUUAGAUACCCCGGUAGUC